CCUACGGGAGGCUGCAGUGAGGAAUAUUGGUCAAUGGGCGGGAGCCUGAACCAGCCAAGUCGCGUGAAGGAAGAAGGUACUGAGUAUUGUAAACUUCUUUUGUCGGGGAAUAAAGGUGGAGACGUGUCUUCGGAUGCGUGUACCUGAUGAAAAAGCAUCGGCUAACCCCGUGCCAGCAGCCGCGGUAAUACGGGGGAUGCGAGCGUUAUCCGGAUUUAUUGGGUUAAAAGGGUGCGCAGGCGGGAGCUCAAGUCAGCGGUAAAAUGUCGGGGCUCAACCCCGACCGGCCGUUGAAACUGGGUUUCUAGAGUGAAAGAGAAGUGUGCGGAAUUCGUGGUGUAGCGGUGAAAUGCAUAGAUAUCACGAAGAACUCCGAUUGCGAAGGCAGCCUACCGGCUCCAUACUGACGCUGAGGCACGAAAGCGUGGGGAUCAAACAGGAUUAGAUACCCGGGUAGUC
rnacentral:rRNA from 1 species